CAAACCAGAUUGAAUCACUUUGUGAGAAGCUUGAUUUGGAUACAUAAAGUGGUGGAGAAUAACCAGGAAGUUGAAUAAAUUGUUGGAAUGAAGAAGUAAGAAGCUGGAGUUGAUGAAGAGACCAAGCAUCAAGAGCAAGCAAAUCCGGAACAAGCAGAUUUGAAUCUGUCCGUACAGUUUUGGCUUGCAAGUAACCAAACCUAACCUAGAGUGUCUUGGAAGUCAAGGCAAGUGGGGAACUCGUCCAGCUGAGCUUUCUGAAGCAUAUUUGAAGUUUAAAUUAAGUGUGAGACCGUUGGAGAGAGAUCUGGCAAGUUGGAGAAUUAAUUAAGAUAAAAGUCACAUGUGCAUAAGGAGAUGAGCCUGCUGUCACUUUCACCCAACCAGACUGUGCCCAUCUCUCUCCUGUCACUCUCUACUCCCUCUGGUCGAGAUUCUCCUUGGCUGCAUCCUCCUGGCUCCAUCAGAAACCCUACAAUAGUAUUAGUUUAGUAAAUCUGUACUUUAACAAUUGUUUAAUCACUUGCAACUUGUAAUUUGGCUAUAAAGCCACCCCAUUGUAACCAUUACGAAAUUAAGCUGAAUGGGGGAGUUUCCCCUUUCUUCUUCACCAUUCUCAAGUCUCUUAUACUCUCCCUAAUCUCUGGUUACAAGAAUCUCUCUCAUACUCUCUCAAAUCUCACUUAAUCUCUCUUAUUCUCCAUUGCAGUCUCUUUAAUUCUCACUUACUCUCUUCACUCUGUUCUCUUUCAAUCCGACCACUCUCUGUUCUAAACAACACUCACACACCAUAAUCUGUCUAUUCUCACAUGGUAUCAGAGCUCCAAGCUCCUGAGAAUCCAUAAAGCUUCCGCAAAUCUGUUACAGUUCAUACUUCUCUUCAAAAAUCUCUGUUUCUGUUCAUCCUUGUAUCCUCUGGUCUAAAGCUUUUCCAGGAGGGAAGAGACUCACCAGAACUCAAGAUAAAGGAGGUCUUUAGUAUCUGAAACUCAAAGCUUCCACAAUUCAAGCAUAGGCUCACCCUCAUUGUUAUUUCAAAUCAUUGGAGAGUUUCUGUCCAGCCAGCUGUUCAAUCUCUUCAAGAGGAAGAAGACUACAAACAUGGCGUGUCCAGAGACUUCCCAAGGUCUAUCACCCUUCCUCCUGUUCAGCCUGAAGAGAUCUCUUGGAGAAAGAAGGUUUUGGAGCUGUUUGGCAAGCAAUGCUCCAAACCAAGUCUGUACAAGUGAUUUUCAAGUUCUUCCCAAAAUGGAGUCUCUCACUGUGUGCCAGAAGGUGGCGCCUGGUAAUCAGGAAGAAAGGAGGGGUCUUAAGCAUGAGUGGUCUAAAGGGAAAGCACACACAAGGAAAUGGCGUGGGGUAGAGAUCCCAAACUCCAAAUCUGUCAAGUUCAAGUGAACAGUGUGCCUUGGAGGUUCAAGGAACCAGCUCAGGUUCCUUGUUUGUAAGUUAACCUCCUACCUUUAAUAAGAGCUUGAGUAGUUAUGUCUGGUUGUGUUGAGUGGUGUGUUUGGUAUCCUUGGGACAGGUUCAAGUUGCUAGAGUUGUUGAACCUAGUUUCUGUCCCAUGAUACUUAAAUUGUGUGUGUUGCUCUGUUUCUUAAAUUAUUUCUAGGAGUUGUCUAGCAUGGUAUUGUCUAGUUCCUGUCCUAGAUUAAUUGUUUCUGUUUGUAUUGUGCUAGGCGAUUUGUUUAGCUACUGUCAUUGUCUUGUUGCAUUGAUAAAGGUCUAGGAGAGUCUCCUGAUCUUGUAUUGCAUUAUAUAUAUUGUUCAAGAUGAUUAGAUGAGUUGUUUAGUCUCUGUUUAUUGUCUUUAAAAUUCAUAAAAAGAGCCUAAUUGCCUUGUUAUUGAUGAGUUAUCAUACCUGAGCAGUUAGUACUGUUAGUAUGCAUGGAGUUGAACUGAAUGAGUUGUUUAGAUUCUGUUCAUUGCAUAUUUCUUUUUUUUUCUCUUAAAACAUUGGGAUCAGACUUGGUGAAUUAUCAAUGGCUGAUCCUAGUGUGUGUGGUCUGAUUCUUGCUGGAGUUUGAGUGAUGUUUCAGGUACACAAGAGGUGAUCUCUGUCCAUCAUCAAACUAAGACAAAGAAGAAGGCAUUGCCCACGUUUUUCAGAGCCUCCCAAGAUGGAUAUUCCUGAACCGUGGAGAUUGCCCAGUCCCAAAUCCUAUCUAUGUGUCUGCCCAUUUCUUACCCUGAAGAUAGAAAGGAUGUUGGAGAAUUGGAGAAACUGCUCAGAAGUGACUUACCUGAUGCCAAGAGGAUGUACAGGAGGUGCACUCAAGAGAAAAGGCCAUCACUAAGCCAAGAGUGGCCGGUGGUCAGAGGCAUGGAUCAAGGUGUUUAGUCCUGACCAUGUAAAGAUACCUUGUGAGUGGAAUCAGUUGGCUUAAGCGCAGGCGUAGGAGCUGUUGUGCUCCUGGUUCAAGAGACUCACAAGGAAGGCCAUCACCUAAGUCAUGAGGAGACUGGUGGUCCAAAGACAUUGGAGCUGAAGGCAAAUGGUGAUCCAGUUGGCUUAAGCGCAGAUGUUGGUAUUGUUGUGCUCCUGGAAGAUGGUAACUGGUUGGCUUAAGCGCAGAUGUUGGUAUUGUUGUGCUCCCAGUUCAAAACUCGUUGAAGCUCACGUUCAAGCUUGUCACUAUACUCAGUCAAGCUUGAGGAGGGGAAUAUCAGUGAGCUACCAAAAGAUCCAUGAAGCUUACUGUAUCCAGUGUCCCAUUUCCUCAUAGAAGACCAGCAAGAGGUUGGCGAAUUAAAAGAGGACUUAAGUGAUCAAACUGAAGAAGCUGUCACUCCUCACUGUUCUUACCAGCCAGAUGCAAGGAUUAUUCAAUCAGGGACAUUCUUGGCUAAGCAAUCACAUGAUGGUGGCAAAUUAUGGAGUUGCAAAGUCCCCCUACAUGUUGAAACUUCAAGAGAACAAUGCAAAGGCUGGUUGAGAGAAGGAAUGGCGUGGAGGAUUCAAGUGCUUAGUAAUCCUCACCAACAUUCAACAAACUGAUGCAAGGGAAGUACCUAAAACCAUUAUUAUUCUUAUGUGUGAAUAGGUUUGCCCCUUGAGAAUUGAUACAUGCAUUUUUUGGAUGAUUGAAUCAGGUACCUAUUGAGCUCAUGAACAAAGAAAAGCUUUGUCUCAACUCCUAAAUGGAGGCAAGAAG